rnacentral:rRNA from 1 species
UGGGGAAUCUUGCACAAUGGGCGCAAGCCUGAUGCAGCCAUGCCGCGUGUAUGAAGAAGGCCUUCGGGUUGUAAAGUACUUUCAGUCGGGAGGAAGGUGGUAAGGUUAAUAACCUUAUCAAUUGACGUUACCGACAGAAGAAGCACCGGCUAACUCCGUGCCAGCAGCCGCGGUAAUACGGAGGGUGCAAGCGUUAAUCGGAAUUACUGGGCGUAAAGCGCACGCAGGCGGUUGAUUGAGUCAGAUGUGAAAUCCCCGGGCUUAACCCGGGAAUUGCAUCUGAUACUGGUCAGCUAGAGUCUUGUAGAGGGGGGUAGAAUUCCAUGUGUAGCGAGGAAAUGCGUAGAGAUGUGGAGGAAUACCGGUGGCGAAGGCGGCCCCCUGGACAAAGACUGACGCUCAGGUGCGAAAGCGUGGGGAGCAAACAGG